AGCAGCCGCGGUAAUUCCAGCUCCAAUAGCGUAUAUUAAAGUUGUUGCAGUUAAAAAGCUCGUAGUUGAAUUUCGAGAUCAGUACGCUGGUCGUGCCUUCGGUAUGCACUGGUGUCACUGGUUUCUCCCUUCUGAAGAACCGUCAUGCCAUUCAGUUGGUGUGGCGGGGAAUCAGGACUGUUACUUUGAAAAAAUUAGAGUGUUUAAAGCAGGCUCGCGCUUGAAUACAUUAGCAUGGAAUAAUGAAAUAGGACGUUUGACCCUAUUUUGUUGGUUUCUAGGAUCGACGUAAUGAUUAAUAGGGAUAGUUGGGGGCAUUAGUAUUCAAUUGCCAGAGGUGAAAUUCUUGGAUUUAUUGAAGACUAACUACUGCGAAAGCAUUUGCCAAGGAUGUUUUCAUUAAUCAAGAACGAAAGUUAGGGGAUCGAGGACGAUCAGAUACCGUCGUAGUCUUAACCAUAAACUAUGCCGACUAGGGAUCGGAUGAUGUUAAUUUUUAAUGACUCAUUC
rnacentral:rRNA from 1 species